rnacentral:lncRNA from 1 species
GGGGUUAAGAAAUUUUGUUAUAGCUCACUAGCCCAGGGCUAAUUGGUUGCAAUAUUUUACUAGCCCUGUUGGAAGAACUACUAGCCAACAAAAAAUGACCUACUAGCCCUAGUAUGCUUUAAAAAAUUCAGAGUUUGCUGCAAUAACAAUGAAGUCUAUAAACUUAACAAUUUUUAUCCAUUCACUGCAUUGUACAGUAGAUUUUUGCAAAUUGGAUAUUCAAAACUUAUAUCAGCAAAAAAUAUUCCAUUAGCAUAUACAUAUUCAAUUAAUCGAUAAUUGAAUAUUCACUGAAAAUUCUGAUAUAAUGAGUUGACCAAAUCCGGGGAUGAUACCAUUCUUGACCACUGCUAUACGUGGGUAUGUAAAAGGAUUGGAGGGGGUUUUAUCAGAUACAAUAGCAUCAUCAUUGUGUAAAAGAAUUAUCAGCACAUGUUUCAAAUUUAUAUCCGACAACAGUCAGGUUUCUGCUGUCAAAAGGGAUUCACAUUUAUAUUGCAAUAAAUUAAUCAGAAGGAGGUAAAAUCAGGUUGCAUAAGCAAUGUACAAUACCACCCCCUGUACUGACACAUCGAUAUUUAAAGUACAUGUACAAGAUCCACCCAUAGUUAUUUGUUCUAUUCUAAAACUUGUACAAGAUCAGUUCAAAUUCUGGGAAUUCCUGAUGAGGGGAUUUUCCCCUUUCAAUUUUAGAAUCGCCAAGAAGUUUUUGUUACUAGUCCGUCGGGCAUUUUGGGUUACAAGUUUUGGUUGCCCAAGGUCGAAAUUUUGUAGUCCCGGGCCUCGGGCUAGUGGAUUUCUUAACCCCUGUAUAGAUGAACAAGAAUGUGUCCCCAGUACACGAAUGCCCCACUCGCACUAUCAUUUUCUAUGUUCAGUGGACCGUGAAAUUGGGGUAAACCCUCUAAUUUGGCAUUAAAAUUAAAAAGAUCAUAUCAUAGGGAACAUGUAUACUAAGUUUGAAGUCGAUUGGACUUCAACUUCAUCAAAAACUACCUUGACCAAAAACUUUAACCUGAAGCGGGACAGACGGACGAACUAACGGACAGACGGACGGUACGACGGACGAACGGACGCACAGACCAGAAAACAUAAUGCCCCUCUACUAUCUUAGGUGGGGCAUAAAAAUAA